UGCCACAGCCAUAUUACACUGCAGCACAAGACUUUUUGCCCACUGAAGCCAAGCAGGGUAGAGCCUGGCCAAUACAUGGAUAAGAGACACUUGGGGGAAAACUAGGUUGCUGUUGGAA
rnacentral:rRNA from 1 species